ensembl:lncRNA
CGCAAACAGAAAGCUGCGUGCAACGCAACGAAUGCCAACUAACGGAUAAGCGAUGUCUGCAUGCGACUGUAUCUCCAGCAGACAGACUUAACAUUUCCCCUACCGAGCAGCCCCGUCCCUGAGUGCUGGGAGUGCGGAUCGGCUAAAGGGAAAACCGCUCCGACGACCACCAGACUCUCUGGUCGCCUCCGAGAAGAGAGAGUGUGCACCUUAUUGCGAGAGAGUUGCUGUUCGCUGCUCAGGGUAUCCCUCGUGUUGCAAGUGGCACGAAAGCUGUGAUCGGCGACAUUGCCUCUCGCCCGAAGACGUAUACGCGAUUGACUGGAGAAGUGGUGGUUUUGGGCACUGGGUUGGAAACUGAUUCAGUGGUGCAUUCAUUUUUGCUCUCAACAGAUCGGAUAAAUAGUAUGGAUUAGAUCGACCGUUUGUAAAGCAAGGUGCCCUGCCGCGGUUCUUCUCUAUGCCAAUUAAGAGAGAUAGAGCCAUAGAAACACACGGCCUAUGCCUCAAAAAUUACCUCACAACAACCCAUUCUAGCCAUGGGUUGUAUCCUGUUUGAAGAAACAUAGACGCUUCUGUAGCUUCCAUGGUAUCUUCUGUCGAAGAAUUUUCCCUGAGACGAAUGUUGGCGAACAGCAGAGAGCUGUCGGAGGGCAGAGGUGG